UUUGACCCUGCCUACCAAAACACCCAAACAAUUUAUAGUGUCACCAUAAUUUUCAAUGUAAACUACGGAACUGGACUUUCAAUUGUGCCUUGUUUCUUACGGUUGCUGUUUGUUUUCCCGACUAGACUGAAAGCUUCUGGAAGAAAAGAACUGGGUUUGGACUUCUCAGGAGCCUGUGCCCCCUCCUGGAAAGGGCACAGACUUAGAGUUCAACCUGGGUUCAACUCCUGGCUUUUAGCCAUUAACAGCCCUAUGACCUUGGGAUUGGAAAUACAGAGAAAGUGGAGCUGCAUCCUUACCUGGGAGUGUGUUCUUAAGCUUUCUGAGGACCACAAUAUUCACAUCAGAAACCAUGUAGAACAUCGAGGAGUCAAGAGGAAGAUCAUAAUUCAUAGGUGUUCAUAUCAAGCACACGUGAUUUUUAUAAGUGGAUAUGGAUAAUGAGACAAAGGAAAAAUGAUUGGUAAACACUGCGCGCAGGACUCUGGGGGCCCAGAGCAAACUCCAGUUGCAAAACCACCACCUGCACCUGUGCACUGGCAACAAAUUGACAGGUGAGACCAAUCUCUCUGUGGUUACAGGGAGUGGUCAGGGGAACGAACUGUGUUUCUGAUGCCUUAGCUCCCCAGUGACAGUGACGGGACUCCAAGCUGAUAAAACUGACGAGUGGGAAAGCAUUGGACAGUGUCUGUAUUUUGAGUUUCAAUAUUCUGCCCAAUUCCCAUGGUGCCUGGAUCCAUGCUUCACACUUAGUGGACCUGAGGUUAAUGUGAGACGAAAAUAAUUAUUAUAGUGAAAAUGUAUUGAGCGCUUAUUCUGUGUCAGGCACUAUGCCAAGUUCUUUAUAUCGAUUAUCUCAUUUUAUCUUCACAACUACUGACAAGAGUUAUUAUGAUCCCCCAUUUUACAAACAAGAAAAAUGAGGGCCAAGGUCACACUUCUGCUUAGUGACAGAGCCAAAAUUUGAACC
rnacentral:lncRNA from 1 species